AGGCAACAAACUACCAAGUUAUUAUUAUUCAGGAGAAAAACCUUAUAAACAUGUAAAAGGAUUUUAUUCUGUCACAGAUGCCCUUAGAAAAUAAUGAAAUGGAGUUGGAAAAUUGAUGAAUUUGACGUUAAGGAAUCAUCACACCUGCAGGAUGAUGCCAGAAGUUUGACUACCAAGGCUCCAUGUUUUUAGCUUAAAAGUUUAAUCAAUAUUAAAAUAUUUGCCUGCUCCUUCCCUCCGUCCAAGAAAUCCCUGGAAUAAUUAACAUUCAAAUCUCUGUCAACUAUACCAUGCCACAAAGUCACUACAGAUAAGAAGAGGAAG
rnacentral:lncRNA from 1 species